ACACGUAGGUAACCUGCCCGUAAGUUUGGGAUAACAUGCCUAACGGCGUGCUAAUACCGAAUGAAGCACUGGGAUUAAUUUUCAGUGUUAAAGAUAUCCUUUGGUUAUCGCUUACAGAUGGGCCUGCGGCUCAUUAGCUAGUUGGUAGGGUAACGGCUUACCAAGGCAACGAUGGGUAGCCGGCCUGAGAGGGUGGUCGGCCACACUGGGAUUGAGAUACGGCCCAGACUCCUACGGGAGGCAGCAGUAAGGAAUAUUGCGCAAUGGUCGCAAGACUGACGCAGCAACGCCGCGUGGAUGAUGAAGCUCUAUGGAGUGUAAAGUCCUGUUAGAAGGGAAGAACAGUACGGAGUCAAAGCUUCGUGCAUGACGGUACCUUCAGAGAAAGCCCCGGCUAACUCCGUGCCAGCAGCCGCGGUAAUACGGGGGGGGCAAGCGUUGUCCGGAAUUACUGGGCGUAAAGGGCGCGUAGGUGGAAUUGUAAGUUAGAGGUGAAAGCCAGCAGCUUAACUGCUGGUCUGCCUUUAAUACUGCAGUUCUUGAGUGCGAAAGAGGGAAGCGGGACUCUUGGUGUAGCGGUGAAAUGCGUAGAUAUCAAGAAGAACACCGGUAGCGUAGGCGGCUUCCUGGUUCGUAACUGACACUGAGGCGCGAAAGUGUGGGGAGCAAACAGGAUUAGAUACCCUGGUAGUCCACACCGUAAACGAUGGAUACUAGGUGUUGGGUUUCACGACUCAGUGCCGAAGUUAACGCAUUAAGUAUCCCGCCUGGGGAGUACGAUCGCAAGGUUGAAACUCAAAGGAAUUGACGGGGGCCCGCACAAGCGGUGGAGCAUGUGGUUUAAUUCGAUGCAACGCGAAGAACCUUACCGGGGUUUGAAAUGCAGUUGCUCUCCGUUGAAAGACGGAUUUCCUUCGGGACAACUGUACAGGUGCUGCAUGGCUGUCGUCAGCUCGUGCCGUGAGGUGUUGGGUUAAGUCCCGCAGCGAGCGCAACCCUGUCUUUAGUUGCUAUCAGGUCAAGCUGAGAACUUUAAGGAGACUGCCUCGGAUAACGAGGAGGAAGGUG
rnacentral:rRNA from 1 species